CCCCGGAUAGAAGGAUCUGAAUCUUCAGGUAAGUACCGGAUGAACUGGCGUAAAAUAUUGCAGAAGUAGAUGAGGAGAGCAAGAAAACAUGCAAUCCCACAUAUGAGGAAAAGCCCCUGAAAGCUUUGUAACUGCAGCUGUUCUGAGCCAGACUCAGAGCUCUGGGAAUUGCAGACUUUUCUUGUCAGCCACUUGUCAUUAAUCUUUUGAAGAUCACCAUUUUCAGAUA
rnacentral:misc_RNA from 1 species